CAGUAGCCACGGUAAUACGUAGGUGGCAAGCGUUGUCCGGAAUUAUUGGGCGUAAAGGGCUCGCAGGCGGCUUCUUAAGUCUGAUGUGAAAGCCCCCGGCUCAACCGGGGAGGGUCAGUGGAAACUGGGAAACUUGAGUGCAGUAGAGGAGAGUGGAAUUCCACGUGUGGCGGUGAAAUGCGUAGAGAUGUGGAGGAACACCAGUGGCGAAGGCGACUCUCUGGUCUGUAACUGACGCUGAGGAGCGAAAGCGUGGGGAGCGAACAGGAUUAGAUACCCCUGUAGUCCCUGUCUCUUAUAC
rnacentral:rRNA from 1 species